rnacentral:rRNA from 1 species
AUGCUUAAGAUUGAUCUAGCUAAAGCCUUUGAUCCUUUGGAAUGGAACUUCAUAUGCUCUGCUCUAGCACGUAAAGGGUUGCCGAAACAUUUUAUUAAUUUAAUUCAUCCUUGUAUUGCAACUCCUGUUUUCUCGGUUAUCAUUAAUGGGCAAUCAUAUGCGAAGUUCAGAAGUAGCAGAGGAAUUAGGCAAGGUUAUCCUCUGUCGCCAUAUCUUUUUAUCCUUGCCAUUAAUGAACUUUUGAUCUCUUUACAAGAAGCUAUGUUCUCCAAUCACUUGUCAAGUAUCUCGCUUGGUCCAAACUGCCCCUCCAUCCAUUCACUUAUGUUUGCAGAUGAUCUUUUGGUUUGUGGUCAGGCUACCAUUCAAGAAGCAAUCACCAUGAAUCAACUCAUCCAAUCUUUCUGU